AAUGGUGGGGGAUAACUGCGGGAAACUGCAGCUAAUACCCGCAUAAGCCCUGAGGGGGAAAGAUUUAUUGCCAUUUGAUAGGCCCGCGUCGGAUUAGGUCGUAGGUGGUUUGUGCCCAUCCUAGCCGAUGAUCCGUAGCUGGUAUGAGAGUACGAUCAGCCACACUGGAACUGAAAAGGGUUCAGACAAUGUAUAUUGGCAGCAGUAAAGAAUCUUGCACAAUGGGGGAAACCCUGACGCAGCGACGCCGCGUAGAGGAGGUUGACAGCGUACUGUUGUAAACUCUGGCCUGUGGUUCUAUGAUGAAGAACCAUAAGGAAAGCCCCGGCAAAACUCCGUGCCAGCAGCCGCGGUAAGACGGAGGGGGCAAGUGUUCAUCGGAAUGACUGGGCGUGAAGGGUGUCUAGGCGGCUUAUCAAGUCAGGUGUGAAAGCCUUGGGCUUAACCCAAGAAUUGCGCUUGAUACUGAUAAGCUAGAGGAUGAUAGAGGAAAGCGGAAUUCCUAGUGUAGAGGUGAAAUUCGUAGAUAUUAGGAAGAACACCAGAGGCGAAGGCGGCUUUC
rnacentral:rRNA from 1 species